AAUCAAACUCUUGUUCUCUUGCAGCUUCCAUUCUAGUGGGCAAUCUGGAAAGUCAAAGGAAAGGAGGAAUUCAUUAGUUUGAGUACACCAUUUUGGGCCCUGCCAGAUGCUCUUUGCAGUGACCAUGGUAUUUGAGGACACUUCAUUUUAGAGGAGAACUGUCCACUGCCUCUACAGCUCGCUUAUGCAUAAUCAUGAUACGAAGCCCUCUGGGUUCCAGUAAACAUGAGCUCGUUGUUGUUGUUGCUUUAUCUUUUGGCCCUGACUUCAAGAUCACUCUGCAUGAUACUUCUCCAAGAACUUCUUUCAGGCAUGAAUUUUAAAAAUCAGAAGAUUUCACAUAAGAAUUUGGAUUUGUAUGUCAGUUAACUACUACCAUGAUAAUGCUGUUUAACAACCAACCACAAAACUUCAGUGGCAU